CCUACGGGAGGCAGCAGUGAGGAAUAUUGGUCAAUGGACGAGAGUCUGAACCAGCCAAGUAGCGUGAAGGAUGACUGCCCUAUGGGUUGUAAACUUCUUUUAUAUGGGAAUAAAACGUUCCACGUGUGGGAUUUUGUAUGUACCAUAUGAAUAAGGAUCGGUUAACUCCGUGCCAGCAGCCGCGGUAAUACGGAGGAUCCGCGCGUUAUCCGGAUGUAUUGGGUUUAAAGGGAGCGUAGGUGGAUUGUUAAGUCAGUUGUGAAAGUUUGCGGCUCAACCGUAAAAUUGCAGUUGAAACGGGCAGUCUUGAGUACAGUAGAGGUGUGCGGAAUUCGUGGUGUAGCGGUGAAAUGCUUAGAUAUCACGAAGAACUCCGAUUGCGAAGGCAGUUCACUGGACUGCAACUGACACUGAGGCUCGAAAGUGUGGGUAUCAAACAGGAUUAGAUACCCCUGUAGUC
rnacentral:rRNA from 1 species